UUUUUUUUUUGUGCGGAAAUAAAGCUUUCAUUACUCAAUCACCAGGGUAUUACAAUCAUCGGAUGCUAUUCCCAGGACCUCCGGAGGCCCUGCUCCAAGCCAGGUCAUCGUUCUACCAGAAGACAUAGCAUAGUUCGCCAGCCAGGCACUCGCUUUAUUUUGAGAAAUACUACCAAAGGAGAUACAAGAAUUACAGCUACCAAUCAGCUGCUUAAUUUCAGAUACCAAGUGGGCGCAUAUUUUUUGAGUGAUCCAGUUCAAACUUAUAUCAUACUACUAAUUACUAGCUUAUAUUGAUAGCAUGCAGACUAUUGGACAUACUUUUCAUACCAUUACCAUCAGACUGUAUUCUGAAUCAUCUAUUAUCGUUGUGAUUUUGUAAUUAUCCUGAAACAAAAUACUGUACUGUACAAAAUCACAAACAGAGAUUCUAUUUUUGCGAGGUGCUAUAUGUUUUCUUUUCACAAACAGUGCUUUCAUUGGUCCGUUAUUAUACAUUUUUCUUUUCAGCAACGGGAGUAUAGUACUCUAAUCACAAACUAUCACCUACUAUGCUAAAAUUUCUGUUCUCAUAUUUCGCAAAAAAAAGAAGUAUAUAUACUUAUGAUGUCGUUGGAUUUUGCAAGUGUUGGGAGUAAUAAAUGAACCAGUAGUUCAUAUCAGACUGUGGAAUGGAAUUUUUCUUAAUAUGAAUUAUCCUCCCAUAUAAAAAAUUCUAUUUGGAGCAAACUUAUCUUUAAUGUAGACGUAUAUCAACAAUUAAUCAAGUCCCGUCAUAUUGCAUGUUUAUUGUGCGGAAUGUGUGUCCCAAUCUUGACAGAAGCUAUAAAGAGAUUAUCUUGAAGAUUGAUGGCAUAGAGGAUGAGAUAUUGCCCCGAAUUCUUAUUUCUUGUCACAAACUUAGUACUCCCUAUGAUCAAUAUUACUUGUCGCUCAAAUAGACGCAUCUAAAUGUAUUACAGUGCUAAAAUACAUCCGUUAGAGUGACAAGUAAUACAUCCGUUUGAGCGAUAAGUAAUUGGAUCAGAGGGAGUCCAUUUUCAUUAUCGUUAUUCAGAACAUCUAUAAGCCAUUAAUAUUCUAAGGGGAUGUACAACCGGAGAAGAUUAUCAUAGUUGAAUAAGAAACUCAGCAGUGUCAUCGUGCAAGUUGGAGGCGGGGGGAAAUGAGAUAAAAGCCUGGUGGGAGGAAGAAAGUCGAGUGUCGCGUGGUGGCUGGGACGAGGGAGUGGGGUAGAAAGACGAUGAGGAGAUGCGUUUACCUAUCAGAUCAAAACCAUGAGAUAUCAUCCCAUGCGAAUAGCCUUUGACUCCGUAUCAUGUGAAAUUUCUUUGUAUAUAUAUUUUGUUAGUCCGUGGCAACGCACGGACACUUAGCUAGUUAUCUGUGGUGUACGGCGGCGCCUGGUUCGUCUUGUGCGGCGGGUGCACGUGGUCAUCAUUGGCUCUAUGACAACGACUCGGCCGCCGCCGUCACUGCGAACUACAUGUUGUUCCCGAGUACUCGUUGUUCCCGGAUGUAAGAUCUCCAGCCGUUCGGCCUCCCAGGGCACCGAAAAAAGCGGCUUGGGAAUGAGCUGGUGCUAGAUCGACCCCUGGGGUUCGUUUCUCCCCAGCCACGCCCCCAGGUGCCCCCACCCCCUGCGCCUCAUAUUCGAAAUCCAUCAUUCCCGCUCAAAGAAACAACAAACCGGCGAUCAUCGCAAUAGUUCGGUGAUUCGGUGCCACAGUUCGGCGAUUAAAAUAAAAGGACACGCAGUAGUUCGGCGUACAAAAAAGGAAGGACGCGGAAGGAAUACAUCAAACGUCGAGCUCAAACUCCGGCGGCGUUGUCGUUGGCGUACGCGGGCUGGGAGGAGUCGGCGCAGCUUCCAGGCUGUUUGGCACGGCUUCUGUGUUGCUGGGCGCGGCGGAGGCAUCAUCGUUGGGGCUGGGCGUCGCGGAGGCAUCGUCAUCAGUCGCCGGGCUGGGUGGCGGCAUCGGCAUCGCCGGUAUCUGGUUCAGGAUGAGGCCACGCUCAGCCAAGAACCAUGCCUUGACCUUCUCUUCGCCGCCCAUCAAGAAGGCGAGGUCGUUGUUCCUCUUCUUGGCGUUUUGAGCUUUGAGUUUCGCGGCGGCGUUGGUGCAGAGCAAGUCGAGUUUCACGGCGCUGUUCAUCAUCAAAACAGCCCACCUUGCCUCAGUUUUAUCUUCUAGCUCGGCGGCCCUGGUCUUGGCGUCGCGAGACAGUGUUCGAUGGACGCUUGCACGCGCGCGACAACCGACUCGGCGUAUUUCACCUUCUUGGCACCUUUGUUGCCGUCCGGUCGCCCUUCGGACGCGCCCGCGGUCGGCGCGUCCGGUUUGUACGUCUCUUUGGCCUUGGCGAUGGUGCAUCGGACGGCCGCACAUUUCUCGCACUUGUCGAUCCGCUUGAAGACGUGGAGGUACUUGAAGUCUGCGUCGCUGUUGUCAUCGUGAAACAUGGCGAACAUGUGUAGCAGCUGCGCCGAAGAAAGUACAUCAGUCGGUGCCAGAGUGCGCCAGGGCGUGCCCACGGCGCGCACAAAACGAAAGAGCGCGCGCCCGCCGAAAGGCAACAGUAAGGACGGCGUGCGAUACCUGAUCCUCGACGCUGGUGCCGCUCUCCGGGCGAGCCGCGACCUCCUCAACGAUCCCAUGCCAUUUGUUGCACGUCGUUUGGAUGAGCCCCCAAUGGUUCGUCAUCGCCUUCGACCCCCGCUUCAUGUGCAUGCCUUUGAAGUAGGGGUCGGCGAGCUUCCGCUCGUCGAACUCGGCCUUGAUGCGGUCCCCAUACGUCUCGAUGCUCUGAUUCGUGCCGGUGACCGGGUCGAGGCAGACGACCUUCCACGCUUUGGCGAGGCACUCCUCUUCCUUGGACGCCCAUUUUAUGCGUGGCUCGCCGGACUUGGCCGCCUUCUUCUUCUUCUUCUUGCCUUUCCUCGUCGGCGCCGGCUCCUCCUCCUCUUCUUCCUCCUCCUCCGGCUCUUCCUCGUCGUAGUCGAGCUCGUCGUCCAUGUCGGCGAGGUCAAUCGAGUCGUCCUGCACAGUGAACCCGGGGGAAGCGGCAGCGGCAGCCGAGCCGGCUGCGAUGAUGUCCUCCAUGUCGGCCACCAUCGUGUCGGCGUCGCCAAGAUGAGAUGAGGAUGAGGCUUGUGAGUAGAGGCCACGGCGAAGAGGUGGCGUCGGUGGGGCUGCGUAGUCUGUCGGCGAGUACGUGUACGGCGGGUACUGCACGCCGGCGAACGCGGGCGAGGGCGUGCGCUGGACAGGGCGCCCAUGGGGGAAGGUGAUGUUGGGGUUGAAGCCACCAUGGGCGUCCCCAUCGGCAUAGCCCGGCGAUGGCGUACUCCAUGGGUGCGGCGACGACGAGAACCCGGCCGGAGAGCCGACGCUUUGCUGGCUCCAGGCCGCGUACGGGUGCCCACCGGGUGGAUUCAUCAUUGCCGCACGCGCCGCCUCCGCCUGUUCGGCCGCCUGCUCCGCCGCCGCCGCAGCCGCAGCGUGCGCCGCUUUUUUCCUGGCCUUCUUGGCCCUGUUGCGCCUGUCGGCGGUGACGACCUCCCCGCGCUCCACAUCCACCUUCCACUCGGCGUUGCUCAUGCCAGGGGGCUUGGACAGCGGAGCCCUCGGCUUCCUUUGCUUCGGCUGGGCGGCGGCGGCGGUGGGAUCCGUCGCGGCGCGGGGCAUCACGUACUUCUUCAGCGGCAUGGCGGGCGGAAGGGCAGGGAGGAGGCGGGGGUUUGGCGGGAGGAAUGGAGAAGAGAGGGGGGAGCGGGAGGAAACGGCAGGAAAAGGGCUUCCGGUUGCCGAUAGAGCGAGCCCACGCCGCUUUUCGCUUGUGCCGGCGCGCCCAGGCGACACCCGGACGCUUGGGUUCGUGACGGGAUCGCCGGCUCUGGAUUNNNNNNNNNNNNNNNNNNNNNNNNNNNNNNNNNNNNNNNNNNNNNNNNNNNNNNNNNNNNNNNNNNNNNNNNNNNNNNNNNNNNNNNNNNNNNNNNNNNNNNNNNNNNNNNNNNNNNNNNNNNNNNNNNNNNNNNNNNNNNNNNNNNNNNNNNNNNNNNNNNNNNNNNNNNNNNNNNNNNNNNNNNNNNNNNNNNNNNNNNNNNNNNNNNNNNNNNNNNNNNNNNNNNNNNNNNNNNNNNNNNNNNNNNNNNNNNNNNNNNNNNNNNNNNNNNNNNNNNNNNNNNNNNNNNNNNNNNNNNNNNNNNNNNNNNNNNNNNNNNNNNNNNNNNNNNNNNNNNNNNNNNNNNUGGAGAUGCUCUAACGAGAAUGACUUCUUGGGGUUCACUGUAAUUUCUGAAUGGUUCUAACUUUUGGCUUCUCAAGUUUCACAUGAUACCAAUAGUUAUCGACCAGAAUUGAUCCACGUGAUGAUAACCUUAUAAAGUCCUCAAGCAAAUAAACUAUAGGUUUGUCAUUAAGAUCUCGCUGUAAUUUCCUUGUUGAUUUUUUUUAACUUGUAGAACUCUAAAGUUACAAUAGUUAGAACUGUGUUUUUUAUAUUUCAAUUUUCAGUUUAGUUUGUGUUAGGAUAGGUUGUAAUCUCUGAACUCAGCAAUCAAAAGUAUUAUUAGUAGGCAGUAUCUAUUGUUUUACAUAUAGCUUACAUUCUCUUACAUUGAUUAUUUGGAAGUUCACUAAGAAUGGGAUAUAUCGUGCUUCCUCGGCAUACAAGGCUUAGUUUGAAGGUCUGGCAUCCUCUGAUCUUGUGCAGUCCGUGUGGAGGGUGUGGGCUCCCCCGAGGUGCAAAUUUUUUGCUUGCGUAGUUCUUCAAAAUAGGAUCUGGACAUCAGACCGCUUGAUCUGUCGUGGCUGGCCCAACUACGGAUCGUGCCCUCUUUGUAAGCAUGCACAGGAGUCCGCUGCUCACCUACUCUUCCAAUGCCGCUUCACAUUGCGCAUUUGGAACGACAUCCUACCGUGGCUUGGAAUGCACCACAUCUCUACUACUUCAUGGUCGGCGAGCGCUUCGGUCAAAGGAUGGUGGAACGGUAACCUUCAGAUUCGUCUCGGCUCCCCCAAAGCCCUUGCCUUAUUGAUGAUGCUCAUCUCAUGGGAGAUUUGGCCCGAGAGAAACGCUAGAGUCUUCCGCAACGUGGCGGUCCCUUCGGUGGUCAUCAUUAACAAGAUCAAGCACGAGGCGUCGCUCUGGGUUUUGGCAGGUGCCAAGCACUUGGGUAUUGUAAUGCCGCGAGAGUAGUUUUUCUUUAGUUUGCCGCUUGCGGCUCCUGUCUAAAACCUUCUUCCUUAAUCAAUGAAAUGGCAAGGCUUUUGCCUAGUUUCAAAAAAAGUACAUUCCUUUACAUUACUUACAGUAUUUCGUAGCCGUAUCUUCUUGCCAAAUUCACUUUAAGUUUUGCCUCUUGUUGUGUUGUAAUCUCUACUCUAGGUGCAUUGUGAUUUGCCUUUUAAUGCAUAGAAAUUUCAAUGUAACUGGGAUUCUAAGCUUUAUUAGUGACUUUUCUCAUGUUUUACCAUACAUCUGGAUAUGAGUUACACUAGCCAGAAGUGGAUUUUCCUUAUGUUUUUUAUGCAAAGUUCAGUGUAAUUGUGCUCUAAUUCCUAUGAUCUUCUUUUUCGUCUUCUUUUUAGUGUUAGCCAAAGCAUGUUGAUCCAGUGCGCAUUAGCAUUACUCGAGAAGUAGUGAUCUGCAGGACACAAUCAUGUGAAAUUUAGGAAAUUAGAUUGCUAGGGAUCUGACCUGGAUUGAUCUGCCAUGCUUUGCUGCAAGUUUAUCAUCUACAUUUCCUUGUAAUUUCCCAUUUUCUAGCUUCGUUCUCCUCUUCUUCUUCAAUCUUUCUUUUCUCUCCUUUUUCGCUACCUAAAAGAGGUAUAUUGUUGUGCUUCAGCCGCAAGUCUCUUUGUAGUUCUAGCAAAAAAGAAAAGGUCUCUUUUUAUAGGGGUUAGGUAUGGUGGGCUUAGGAAGGUUGUUCUGGCAUGAUAUUGGGCCUCACUAGAGUGCAUUUAUUUGGGCUGGUUAUAAACGACCUAAAAGUUAUACUGAUAUACUUCACACAAAAUUUGAAACUAAUUUUAUUUUCGGUCGAUUCUUUCAGCCGUUCACAGGAGACAUACACUUAUGUUUUCUCAUACAUGCAGUUGUUUACAUAUUAGUCAUAAUUAAUGUUGUACCACUAGCCAGCCACGGUGUGUGCUUUCCCUAUCAUCUUUAGAAGUCAGAUUGCUCUUGCUUGAGUGCAUAGUUUGCUCUAUUAUGUUGUGGUCGGUUUGAUUAGCAAAAUGUGUGCGGUUCCUCUGUGUUAUAGAAGGAAGAAUUAUGGUUUCAAUAUCAGGCAACAAUCAUCCUUGUUGUUCUUCCUCCUGAACAUGCAUGGAUUCUUAUCACUUCCUCUGUAAUUUUCUGUACUGCCAGUUUAUUUCAUGUUAGUCACAUGUCCCAGUAACUAGCCAAAGUGAAGACUGAUGAAUGCUCAUAACUUGAACUUGUUCUAGCUGCAUGUUUUCAUCCAAGUCAGAUUUUUUAUGUGCACUUGAGAACUAACCAUGCUUGUACAGAACCGAAAUUGAGCAAGUUUUCCAGUCUUUGGUAGAAAUUGAACAAGUUUCUCAUGAAUACUUUUUUAACUUCAAACCUACUGCUCGUCCAGCUCUAUGAUUUCUCAAAACCUCUUGGUUUUGCGGUUUAGAGAUGUGCUUUCUUGCACUAGAUAAAUAGGUUAUUAAUCAUGCAACUUCCUUCUUUUGUCAUCCCUUUCAUAUUUUUAUAUUUCAGAUACUCUGUGUAACAUGUGCAAUGCCAUGGAGGUGUGUGUGGGCAUCAGGCAUGAUUGCUUGGUGUAGAUAGUGCCUAUAUUUUACUGAUAUGCUUGGUUGAACAGUAGUACUUAUGUUACAUGAGAACUUGAGAAGCAACGUAAGAUGAAGUGCAACAUGGUGGACAUGGGUUCGUGACAAAGCUAGUGGAGAGAUGUUAGGGGCAAUGGUGGAAGAAAUUGUUAAAUGUGGUACCUCAGCGCUAGCGACAAGGCGGUGAUAGGUUCCGACUUCUCAUGGAGCAAUGCAAUGUGCAACAACAUCGUAUUGGGUUCCAUUUCCGACUAGAGAAGAACUGAUGAACGACAUGUGUGCGAUUCAUUUGUUCAUUCAUUUUAUCCUUCCUUAUUCCACUGAACUCAUAUUCAUUUACUUUUGCACUUAUCCAUGGUUUGAUGGAUCAAAAAAAUUAGUGACAUUAAUUGUAAUGAGGAAUAUCAUAUAUCCAUAAGCCUCAGAUGGUUCUUUCAGUAGAACAUGAUCAUUAUGGUUUUUCAGUAGAACAUGAUCAUUAUGUUUGUAUAUACAACCAGUAAAUAUUUUAAAAUGCCUGUGGCAGCACACGAGCAUUCUACUAGUGUAUAGAGCAUAACUGAAGCAAUUUCUCUAAAAUUAUUAGGAAACUAAACUAUAUUCCAAACUGCAAACAGCAUCGACAUACAAACAAGAAACACUCAUCUUGGUCGAUCACAUAUUCAAAACAAUGAAACAAUUAAGAUGAACAAGUGAAUUACCACCCACCAUAAGUUAGCUACAUUGUAUAAUACGUGAAAAGCGCAACACUGCAUUGUCAAUUAAGCUAACCGACUGAACAACAAAGUGUUACAUGGAAACAAAUUGACUAUGACACAAAGCCUUGUCAAAACAUUCCUUGGUAACACUAGGAGCUCAGCUUUCAUCUAUUCAACCAGCUUGAAGCUCUGCAAUAACAGACCUUACUUCCUACUAGAAGCAAAGAACUCACCCUGACACUAACUUAUCUCUCUUCCUCAAAGAAGGAACAAAACUUCAUUAUUCAGCAGAACACAAGUCACCUGCCGUUCACACCCACAUGCAUAGCCACUUUGAGACUCAACGCCUCAAUUGUGCAUUAAACAUCCCGUCUUCAAGAUAUGUGCUGAAUGAAAUGCACUCAG
rnacentral:lncRNA from 1 species